GUCGAACGGGAAAUAUUUCAUUGAGACUUCGGUGGAUUUGAUCUAUUGCUAGUGGCGGACGGGUGAGUAACGCGUGGGUAACCUGCCUUAUACAGGGGGAUAACAGUCAGAAAUGGCUGCUAAUACCGCAUAAGCGCACAGAGCUGCAUGGCUCAGUGUGAAAAACUCCGGUGGUAUAAGAUGGACCCGCGUUGGAUUAGCUUGUUGGUGGGGUAACGGCCCACCAAGGCGACGAUCCAUAGCCGGCCUGAGAGGGUGAACGGCCACAUUGGGACUGAGACACGGCCCAGACUCCUACGGGAGGCAGCAGUGGGGAAUAUUGCACAAUGGGGGAAACCCUGAUGCAGCGACGCCGCGUGAAGGAAGAAGUAUCUCGGUAUGUAAACUUCUAUCAGCAGGGAAGAUAGUGACGGUACCUGACUAAGAAGCCCCGGCUAACUACGUGCCAGCAGCCGCGGUAAUACGUAGGGGGCAAGCGUUAUCCGGAUUUACUGGGUGUAAAGGGAGCGUAGACGGUGUGGCAAGUCUGGUGUGAAAGGCAUGGGCUCAACCUGUGGACUGCAUUGGAAACUGUCAUACUUGAGUGCCGGAGGGGUAAGCGGAAUUCCUAGUGUAGCGGUGAAAUGCGUAGAUAUUAGGAGGA
rnacentral:rRNA from 1 species